rnacentral:rRNA from 1 species
UACGAAGGGGGCUAGCGUUGUUCGGAAUUACUGGGCGUAAAGCGUAUGCAGGCGGAUCGUUAAGUCGGGGGUGAAAUCCCGGGGCUCAACCUCGGAACUGCCUUUGAUACUGCAAAUCUCGAGUCCGGAAGAGGUGAGUGGAAUUCCUAGUGUAGAGGUGAAAUUCGUAGAUAUUAGGAAGAACACCAGUGGCGAAGGCAGCACUCUGGGACGGUACUGACGCUGAGACGCGAAAGCGUGGGGAGCGAACAGG